GCCGGGUGCGGUGGCGCGCGCCUGUAAUCCAAGCUACCGGGAGGCUGAGGCUGGAGGAUCGUUUGAGCUCAGGAGCUCUGAGCUGCAGCGGACUAUGCCGAUCGGGUGUCCGCGCUAAGUUCGAUAUCGAUAUGGUGCUCCUGGGGGAGCCCGGGACCACCAGGUCGUCUAAGGAGGGGUGCACCGGCCCAGGUCGGAGACGGAGCAGGUCAAAGCCCCCGUGCCGCUCAGUAGUGGGAUCGCGCCUGUGAAUAGACGCUGUAGUGCAGCCUGAAUAAUACAGCGAGACCCAGUCUUU
rnacentral:SRP_RNA from 1 species